UCGAAAUCCUUGAUCGGUAACAAGACCGAGCAGCGGUUCCCUUACAAGUAUGCCACACCACCGCCAAAACACGGGCCCCGUCCACGCAGGAGGCCUAUUGCCUUUUGGUAGGCCAUCAUUGUAAAUAGGAAUUUGCUAUUAACUGACUUGCCUAGUUAAAUAAAAUAAAUAAAAAACUGGUGAAGUAA